rnacentral:lncRNA from 1 species
GCCAGCUUCCCCACUAGAUUUCUAGUAUUCAAACUAUUGUAUGUAGAUACUACUUUGGAUAAAUAGAAACAUGGAUUAUAUCCCGAGUAUCUUCCGUGAUCGUUCCACUCCAUAGCCCAGAAAGCACGAUUAUCACCAUAAAGCAUAUCGGGCCAUACAAUAGAAAUAUCUUCAUGUAAAAUCUGUGUACAUAAUAAUACCUUCUCAUCCUUUAGGAAAUGGUAUCGUAGAUGUGUCUUUGGGGUGCCAAACAUUUUUUUUAAACGGCCAAAGACCAUGGAUCCCAAAACUAUUGGGAUCCCAAAACUAUUGGGAUCCAUCACUGUCUUGCUAAUGAUCUUAUCCUCCUUGAAACAAGUUGUAUUAGGUCAUUGUAAGGCCAAGAUAUAUCCGUCUAAAUCCAACUUGGAUUGGGAAGAUACGAAAAUGAGGUUGAGAAUAAAUUUUUUUGAAAAAGAUACGACAACAUUUGGAUUAGACAUUUUAGAUUACUUUCAAAAGUGAUGGAGAAGUUGAAAGAUGCCUAUCAACAAAUCACUAUUGCUAACAUAUAUAUAGGACUCUAACAGAGAGUUGUUGUGCUGAACCAACUCUCCACCAAAAUAGAAUGUGAACGUAAUAUAAAUUUAAUUAUGUGUUUAACUGUUAAAAGAAAAGAAGAAUAAUAAAAAAUUACCUAAAAUGUUAUUAUUUCCUAAAAGACUAAAUGAACAAACAUAAUUAAAACACUAACCAAAAGAGAAAAGUAAUCUUUUAUCAUAUGUUUUCACACACUAAGUCCACAAGCCUAUUGUAUGUAUUCUUUUAAUAUCAUAUGUUUUCACACAGUAAGUCCACAAGCAUAUUGUAUGUAUUCUUUUAAUAUUGUUAUGAUACAAAUUUAUUAGAAAUACUUUUGAAAGUUUGUCAUUAAUUUAGAGGAAGAUGGUGCAAUUCAUAGAGUUGUAUAGUAAUAUCCCAUACGAGAAAGAAUGGGAGUAAAUAUAGAUGAAAUAUUGUUCAUAUUAGAUAUAGUUUAUGAAGUUAAAGAAAUUAUGGAAUGAAAGAAGAAGCAGGGAGGGUGGCUAUUACCUUGACCGCCCCGGAGUUGCUACAAAACAACCAGAAAAGAGAAUCGUUGCAACUUCACCACAAAGAGAAUACUUUGGGAGCCUAUAACAGAAGGAAGAAAAUAAUGGAGGACCAUGAGAUGGAAGAAAAAGAAAAGUAAAGUCCAAUGGAUAUGGAACAAUAUGGCCAUAAGGUUUUGAAAAAUGAAUAGAGUGGAAGAAUGGUUGAGAAAAAGAAAGGGUAGAGCCAAAAUAAAGAGGUGGAAGCAGCUAGGGAAAUUGUUCCCAUUAAAGGUACUAUAAAGAGGGGGAGGAAAUUAUCAAACAAACCCCAUUCAAUGUACUUCAAAGCACUUUAAGAGUUCACGUGCCUAUUGAAAAAGAUGCCACAACAUUUGGAUUAGACAUUUUAGAUUACUUUCAAAGGUGAUGGAGAAGUUGAAAGAUGUGUAUCAACAAAUUACUAUUGCUAACAUAUAUAUAGCACUCUAACAGAGAGGUGUGCUGAACCAACUCUCCACCAAAAUAGAAUGUGAACGUAAUACAAAAAUAGAAUGUGAACAUAAUAUAAAUUUAAUUAUGUGUUUAACUGAUAAAAGAAAAGAAGAAUAAUAAAAAAUUACCUAUAAUGGUAUUAUUUCCUAAAAGACUAAAUGAACAAACAUAAUUAAAACACUAACCAAAAGAGAAAAGUAUUCUUUUAAUAUCAUAUGUUUUCACACAUUAAGUCCACAAGCCUAUUGUAUGUAUUCUUUUAAUAUCAUAUGUUUUCACACAAUAAGUCCACAAGUCUAUUGUAUGUAUUCUUUUAAUAUCAUAUCUUUUCACACAGUAAGUCCACAAGCAUAUUGUAUGUAUUCUUUUAAUAUUGUUAUGAUUGUUGUGAUACAAAUUUAUUAGAAAUAAUUUUGAAUGUUUGCAAUUAAUUUAGAGGAAGAUGGUGCAAUUCAUAGAGUUGUAUAGUAAUAUGUCAUACGAGAAAGAAUGGAAGUAAUUAUAGAUGAAAUAUUGAUCUGUGUGCAUGGUUUAUCUUUAACAUUUCUUUUGGCUAAGUUAUUAAUACUUACAUUGUUACUUUGUGCAUAUUAUCUGCACACUUCUAAAAAUACAGCUUUCCUGAAUUGAUAAACUUUAUAUAAUUAUUUUUUAUUCAAUUAGUUAUUUCUUGAAUUGAUAAAUUUUAUACAUUGUAAGCUACCUAUUUAGGAGUUGAAUACUUAUUUAUGAGAAAGGCAAAUUAAAUCAUUAUUUCAGUGUCUUGAUGUAAUUGUUUUUAACUAUGGUCUCUUGAUUCCCCCUAUUAAACUGACCCUUAAGUUAAAAAUGGUUACUCUUAAGUCCUAACAAUUUUUUAGGGGAACUUUCGUCCUUGAAGUGAUUAUUCCCCUUAUGAAUUUUUUAGGGGAACUUUCAUCUCUGAAGUAACUUUCCUGGAUUAACUUAACCUAUCCCAAUUGCAUAUUUACCUAACCAAAGUGCCACUUUAACCUAUAGUCAACAUUUUAGCCUAUGUGCUUCAUAACACUCCAAAAUAGUGACUAGUAGGGACAUCUUUGUUAACAUCAGAAAAUUAAUGCUUCUAAUAAAACCUACUAAAUUGGACUUAAGAGUGAAGAGAAUAUGACAAGUGCCAUGACGACAUAGGAUCUGGCCAUUAUAAAGGGCCAACUCUAUACUCUAGUUUGACGGGUUCAUGCAAAACCAACCAUGUGUUCAAAAAAUUGCAAGCUUCAACUCUAGCGAGGAUACUCACAAGAGGAAGUAAGUUUUAUAUUUUAAUUUUCAAUAUUUUUUUAUAUUGUUUGUUUACUCACAUCAAAUUAUUAAUUUUCUUAAAUAUAUAGUUCAUUUUCAUGUAAACCUUUUUAUAAUAUAUACAUUUUUAAAUAUAAUAUAUAUAAAAAUAAUAAUAAUAAUAAUAAUAUAUAUACAAAUAUAAAUAUAAUAUAUAUACAAAUAUAAAUAUAGUAUAUGUAAAUAUAAUAUAUAGAGGAUGCAUCAAUUUAAGCUUACAUUAAAUUACAUAAAUACAUUUAAUCUCAUCCGUUCAAUUUUUUAAAAUUCAAUAGACUAUAAACACUUACAAUUUUCGUCUACUCCAUGCAAGAAAUUCUCUCAUACCAUGCACGACAUUCUCACACUCCAUACACGAUAUUCGCACACUUCAUGGAUGAUAUUCACACAGUCCCUACACGAUACUAACACACUUCAUGCACGAGUUCAUACACACAUAUUUCAUGCACCAUUUCACACACGCACGUUUCACGCACCCGUUCAUACACAUACAUACUUCAUGCAUGAGUAUGCAUGUAUUAGAACUAUAUAUACACACAUUAGGGGAGAUCGGUUUACACCCAAUAAAAGAGAUAUCAUAUAAUGAAAAUAUAUUCUAAAUUUGGAAUUUCACUUUUAUUCUCAUUCCAUCCGUAUGUCACCACAAAAAUUGAAGGUAAAGGACAGCACAACAUCUAUUUGGGAUCCAUUAAAGAUUCAUUAGAAGAAGCAUGCUCAUCUAUGAAAUUAAACAACAAAACUGAAAGUGCUUUAUCCAUAUUUAUUGUGACGUAGAACUAUUGCAUGAAUCGAAAAAGGAAGGCCAAGGAAGAGUACAAAAUUAUAAUGCUAUUGAUAAAUGUGUCAUUGGCAUAUAAAGUCCUCCAUGCACAAUUAUUAUAAUUAUUAUUACAAUACUAGCUAAAUCAGAGGUUUAGGGAAUAUUACAGUGCUAAGACAAUUUUCAGCUAACAUAGGAGGUUGGAUACGAUUGAACCUAAUGUCGUAAUACACUCGCAUUUCCCAAAGAUAACAUAUUUCCUUAAUAACAACGCACUUAAUAAAUAUGUCAUUUUUGCCACUUCCAAGAGCCUCCUUGAAAGUAGUAGAUAAGGUUGAUAGCUCAUAAGAGCUACCAAUGACAACAGGCUUACCUUCAAAUGAAACAUAAGUAAAUUAAUAGUUACAAAAAAUUAUACACGCUAUAAAAUGUUGGAAAUUAAAAUAAAAUAAAAACUCACUUGUUUUGGCCAGCUUCCCCACUAGAUUUCUAGUAUUCAAAAUAUUGUAUGUAGAUACUGCUUUGGAAAAAUAGUAACAUGGAUUAUAUCCCGAGUAUCUUCCGUGAUCGUUCCACUCCAUAGCCCAGAAAGCACGAUUAUCACCAUAAAACAUAUCGGGCCAUACAAUAGAAAUAUCUCCAUGUAAAAUCUGUGUACAUAAUAAUACCUUCUCAUCCUUAGUAAAUGGUAUCGUAGAUGUUUCUUUGGGGCGCCGAAUAUUUUUGUUAAACGACCAAAGACCACGGAUCCCAAAACUAUUGGGAUCCAUCACUGUCUUGCUAAUGAUCUUACCCUCCUUGAAACAAGUUGUAUUAGGUCAUUGUAAGGCCAAGAUAUAUCCGUCUAAAUCCAACUUGGAUUGGGAAGAUACGAAAAUGAGGUUGAGAAUAAAUUUUUUUGAAAAAGAUACGACAACAUUUGGAUUAGACAUUUUAGAUUACUUUCAAAAGUGAUGGAGAAGUUGAAAGAUGCCUAUCAACAAAUCACUAUUGCUAACAUAUAUAUAGGACUCUAACAGAGAGUUGUUGUGCUGAACCAACUCUCCACCAAAAUAGAAUGUGAACGUAAUAUAAAUUUAAUUAUGUGUUUAACUGUUAAAAGAAAAG